UGACUGUUGUAGUAUAAAAUCUGAAUUGCUUUACCUGCCAGUGCUGGGUGACGGCGUUCCACACUCCUACCUUUCCUGUGUGACUGGUGGCGACUAGCUGACUCCCAAUGAAAAACAGAGAGUCAACGGCAUUAAGGGCCACCCGCUCAAUGGCCCAGUCCAGGUAAGGGCUGGAAAACACCUGCUGCCAGCCUGAUGAUUCCUUUAUCCUAAAAAACAAUCACAGUCGACCUAUGGCUUGUACUCACCCAGUCUUUGCGGUCCAUCUGCCCCAGAGGGUCCAGGGAGAGAGGACUGAGGGCAGGAACGGAGGUAACCCCCCUCUGCACCACUGGGGCCUGAACGCUCC